rnacentral:rRNA from 1 species
UACGGAGGGUGCGAGCGUUGUCCGGAAUCACUGGGCGUAAAGGGCGCGUAGGCGGCCUGAUAAGUAGGGGGUGAAAUCCUGCGGCUUAACCGCAGGGCUGCCUUCUAGACUGUCAGGCUAGAGCACAGUAGAGGCAGGUGGAAUUCCCGGUGUAGCGGUGGAAUGCGUAGAGAUCGGGAGGAACACCGGUGGCGAAGGCGGCUUCCUGGACUGUCCCUGACGCUGAGGCGCGAAAGCGUGGGUAGCAAACAGG